rnacentral:ncRNA from 1 species
GAUCUUAACAAAUCCUUUAAACACACAGGUUUGGUCCCGACCUUAAAAUCAAUUACCUCUUAACUUACACAUGCAAGUCUCCGCACACCCGUGAGGAUGCCCUUUACCCCACCUAGGAAUAAGGAGCAGAUAUCAGGCGCACCCUGCCCAAAACAUCUAGCUUUGCCACACCCACAAGGGUACUCAGCAGUGAUCAAUAUUAAAAAUAAACGCCAGUUUGAUUUAGUCACAGAGGCCUAGAGCCGGCUAAUCUGGUGCCAGCCGCCGCGGUUACACCAGAGACUCAAUUUGAUCUUAUGCGGCGUAAAGCGUGAUUAAAGAACAUAUACUACUGAGGUCAAACUUAAACUAAGCCGUCAAACGCUUGUUCAUAAGAAAUCCGCACCCGAAAGCUACCUCAACAACACUUGAAUUCACCACAACUAGAACUCAAACUGGGAUUAGAUACCCCACUAUCUCUAGUCGUAAACUUUAAUUUACCCCAACCCCCGCCAGGGAACUACGAGCCAAGCUUAAAACCCAAAGGACUUGACGGUACCCCAUAUCCCCCUAGAGGAGCCUGUCCUAUAAUCGAUAACCCCCGCUAAACCCUACCACUUUUAGCUUUAUCAGUCUGUAUACUGCCGUCCCAAGCUCACCGCAUGAGCGAAACCCCAGUGAACUUAAUGGCUACCGCCAACACGUCAGGUCAAAGUGCAACAAAUAAAGUGGCAAGAGAUGGGCUACACUUUCUACACUAGAAGACACUAAAAAUUACAUGAAACAUAAUUAUAAGGUGGAUUUAGUAGUAAAGAGAAACUAGAGAGUUCUCUUUAAACUGGCACUGGGGUGUGUACACACCGCCCGUCACCCUCUUCAAAAAACCAUUCAAGUUCAUAACAAUCUUUCUAAAACAAGAAGAGGCAAGUCGUAACAUGGUAAGCAUACCGGAAGGUGUGCUUGGAAUUAAAGUA